AUGCACCGAAGCUGCGGCAGCGACACUGUGUGUUGUUGGGUAGGGGAGCGUUCUGUAAGCCUGUGAAGGUGUGUCGUGAGGCAUGCUGGAGGUAUCAGAAGUGCGAAUGCUGACAUAAGUAACGAUAAAGCGGGUGAAAAGCCCGCUCGCCGGAAGACCAAGGGUUCCUGUCCAACGUUAAUCGGGGCAGGGUGAGUCGACCCCUAAGGCGAGGCCGAAAGGCGUAGUCGAUGGGAAACGGGUUAAUAUUCCCGUACUUGGUGUUACUGCGAAGGGGGGACGGAGAAGGCUAUGUUGGCCGGGCGACGGUUGUCCCGGUUUAAGCGUGUAGGUGUGUGUUCCAGGUAAAUCCGGUUCACUUUAACACUGAGGCGUGACGACGAGGCACUACGGUGCUGAAGCAACAAAUGCCCUGCUUCCAGGAAAAGCCUCUAAGCAUCAGGUAACAUCAAAUCGUACCCCAAACCGACACAGGUGGUCAGGUAGAGAAUACCAAGGCGCUUGAGAGAACUCGGGUGAAGGAACUAGGCAAAAUGGUGCCGUAACUUCGGGAGAAGGCACGCUGACACGUAGGUGAAGUGAUUUACUCAUGGAGCUGAAGUCAGUCGAAGAUACCAGCUGGCUGCAACUGUUUAUUAAAAACACAGCACUGUGCAAACACGAAAGUGGACGUAUACGGUGUGACGCCUGCCCGGUGCCGGAAGGUUAAUUGAUGGGGUCAGCGCAAGCGAAGCUCCUGAUCGAAGCCCCGGUAAACGGCGGCCGUAACUAUAACGGUCCUAAGGUAGCGAAAUUCCUUGUCGGGUAAGUUCCGACCUGCACGAAUGGCGUAAUGAUGGCCAGGCUGUCUCCACCCGAGACUCAGUGAAAUUGAACUCGCUGUGAAGAUGCAGUGUACCCGCGGCAAGACGGAAAGACCCCGUGAACCUUUACUAUAGCUUGACACUGAACAUUGAGCCUUGAUGUGUAGGAUAGGUGGGAGGCUUUGAAGUGUGGACGCCAGUCUGCAUGGAGCCGACCUUGAAAUACCACCCUUUAAUGUUUGAUGUUCUAACGUGGACCCGUUACCCGGGUUGCGGACAGUGUCUGGUGGGUAGUUUGACUGGGGCGGUCUCCUCCUAAAGAGUAACGGAGGAGCACGAAGGUUGGCUAAUCCUGGUCGGACAUCAGGAGGUUAGUGCAAUGGCAUAAGCCAGCUUGACUGCGAGCGUGACGGCGCGAGCAGGUGCGAAAGCAGGUCAUAGUGAUCCGGUGGUUCUGAAUGGAAGGGCCAUCGCUCAACGGAUAAAAGGUACUCCGGGGAUAACAGGCUGAUACCGCCCAAGAGUUCAUAUCGACGGCGGUGUUUGGCACCUCGAUGUCGGCUCAUCACAUCCUGGGGCUGAAGUAGGUCCCAAGGGUAUGGCUGUUCGCCAUUUAAAGUGGUACGCGAGCUGGGUUUAGAACGUCGUGAGACAGUUCGGUCCCUAUCUGCCGUGGGCGCUGGAGAACUGAGGGGGGCUGCUCCUAGUACGAGAGGACCGGAGUGGACGCAUCACUGGUGUUCGGGUUGUCAUGCCAAUGGCACUGCCCGGUAGCUAAAUGCGGAAGAGAUAAGUGCUGAAAGCAUCUAAGCACGAAACUUGCCCCGA
rnacentral:rRNA from 1 species